rnacentral:rRNA from 1 species
UGGGGAAUCUUGGACAAUGGGGGCAACCCUGAUCCAGCCAUGCCGCGUGAGUGAUGAAGGCCUUAGGGUCGUAAAGCUCUUUCGCCUGUGAAGAUAAUGACGGUAGCAGGUAAAGAAACCCCGGCUAACUCCGUGCCAGCAGCCGCGGUAAUACGGAGGGGGUUAGCGUUGUUCGGAAUUACUGGGCGUAAAGCGCACGUAGGCGGACCAGAAAGUUGGGGGUGAAAUCCCGGGGGCUCAACCCCGGAACUGCCUCCAAAACUAUUGGUCUAGAGUUCGAGAGAGGUGAGUGGAAUUCCAAGUGUAGAGGUGAAAUUCGUAGAUAUUUGGAGGAACACCAGUGGCGAAGGCGGCUCACUGGCUCGAUACUGACCUGAGGUGCGAAAGUGUGGGGAGCAAACAGGAUUAGAUACCCUGGUAGUCCACACCGUAAAACGAUGAAUGCCAGUCGUCGGGUAGCAUGCUAUUCGGUGACACACCUAACGGAUUAAGCAUUCCGCCUGGGGAGUACGGUCG